GUACCUUCAAGCUUUGCUUGGUGUUGGGUGUUUGUCUCGCCUUUGCGUGUAGACUCGCCUUAAAACAAUUGGCAGCCGGCGUAUUGAUUUCGGAGCGCAGUACAUCUCGCGCUUUGUACUCAGAACGACGGCAUCCAAAAGUCAUUUUUUACAC
rnacentral:misc_RNA from 1 species